GGCAGUAGCUCAGUGGCAGGGCACCUGCUUGGCAUGUAGAAGGUCCCAGGUUCAAUCCCAGGUAGGGUUG